AUUGAACGCUGGCGGCAUGCUUUACACAUGCAAGUCGAACGGUAACAGGCCUUCGGGUGCUGACGAGUGGCGAACGGGUGUGUAAUGCAUCGGAACGUGCCCAGAGGUGGGGGAUAACGCAGCGAAAGCUGUGCUAAUACCGCAUGUGAUCUGAGGAUGAAAGCGGGGUACCCGGCAGCAAAGUUUGGCCUCGCGCCUUUGGAGCGGCCGAUGUCAGAUUCGGUAGUUGGUAGGGUAAAGGCCUACCAAGCCGACGAUCUGUGGCUGGUCUGAGAGGACGACCGGCCACGCUGGGACUGAGACGCGGCCCGGACUCCUACGGGAGGCAGCAGUGGUGAAUUUUGGGAAAUGGACGCAAGCCUGAUCCAGCAAUGCCACGUGCAGGAAGAAGACCUUCGGGUUGUAAACCGCUUUUGUGCGGAACGAAAAGGCUCUGGCUAAUACCUGGGGCUGAUGACGGUACCGUAAGAAUAAGCACCGGCUAACUACGUG
rnacentral:rRNA from 1 species